UACGUAGGGAGCAAGCGUUGUCCGGAAUCAUUGGGCGUAAAGAGCGCGUAGGCGGCUAGAUAAGUCCGGUGUGAAAGUCACAGGCUCAACCUGUGAAUGCCGCUGGAAACUGUCUGGCUAGAGUCCGGAAGGGGCGAGUGGAAUUCCUGGUGUAGCGGUGAAAUGCGCAGAUAUCAGGAGGAACACCAAUGGCGAAAGGCAGCUCGCUGGGACGGUACUGACGCUGAGGCG
rnacentral:rRNA from 1 species